rnacentral:misc_RNA from 1 species
AAGUCGUAACAAGGUUUUCCUUCCGGUUAAAGAUUUUGACUGCUGAAGCCUUACACAGCGACACUAAACAAUUGUGGAGCCUCGCCGUGUAGGCGUAGACGAUACCGCUGAAAUGCUGUGAUCACGCAAGCGUACCAGCAGCCUAACACUUCUUAGGCCCACAGAUCAAGUUGCGGUGGUCAAACAGCUGAACGCUGGAGACUAUAAUAUGACCGGUUCUAACCUAAACGGUUAAGAAACACACGUUCCGUAGGUGAACCUGCGGAAGGAUCAUUAAUGAGUUAGGGUCUUCUAGGCUCGAUCUCCAACCCUUUGUAUAACUACCAUGUUGCUUUGGCGGGCCCGUCUUUCACCGGACCGCCGGGGGUCUUUUGACCUCUGGCCAGUGCUCGUCAGUAGCCCACAUCAAACUCUUUUCAACCAUGUUAAAUCUGAUAAUAGUUAAAUAAAUUAAAAU